GAUGAACGCUGGCGGCGUGCCUAAUACAUGCAAGUCGAGCGAACAGACGAGGAGCUUGCUCCUCUGACGUUAGCGGCGGACGGGUGAGUAACACGUGGAUAACCUACCUAUAAGACUGGGAUAACUUCGGGAAACCGGAGCUAAUACCGGAUAAUAUAUUGAACCGCAUGGUUCAAUAGUGAAAGACGGUUUUGCUGUCACUUAUAGAUGGAUCCCGGCCGCAUUAGCUAGUUGGUAAGGUAACGGCCUACCAAGGCAACGAUGCGUAGCCGACGUGAGAGGCGGAUCGGCCACACGGGAACUGGGACACGGACAAUACGCCUACGGUAGGCAGCAGUAGGGAACCUGCCGCAAUGGGCGAAAGCCUUACGGAGCAACGCCGCGUGAGUGAUAAAGGUCUUCGGAUCGUAAUACCGUGUUAUUAGUUGAGAACAAAUGUGUAAUUAACUAUGCACGUCUUGACGGUACCUAGUCAGAAAGCCACGGCUAACUACGUG
rnacentral:rRNA from 1 species